UACGUAGGGCGCAAGCGUUGUCCGGAAUUAUUGGGCGUAAAGAGCUCGUAGGCGGCUUGUCACGUCGGAUGUGAAAGCCCGGGGCUUAACCCCGGGUCUGCAUUCGAUACGGGCUAACUAGAGUGUGGUAGGGGAGAUCGGAAUUCCUGGUGUAGCGGUGAAAUGCGCAGAUAUCAGGAGGAACACCGGUGGCGAAGGCGGAUCUCUGGGCCAUUACUGACGCUGAGGAGCGAAAGUGUGGGGAGCGAACAGG
rnacentral:rRNA from 1 species